UGAGGAAUAUUGGUCAAUGGGCGAGAGCCUGAACCAGCCAAGUAGCGUGCAGGAUGACUGCCCUAUGGGUUGUAAACUGCUUUUAUGUGGGGAUAAAGUGCGUGACGUGUCAUGCAUUGCAGGUACCACAUGAAUAAGGACCGGCUAAUUCCGUGCCAGCAGCCGCGGUAAUACGGAAGGUCCGGGCGUUAUCCGGAUUUAUUGGGUUUAAAGGGAGCGUAGGCUGUCUAUUAAGCGUGUUGUGAAAUUUACCGGCUCAACCGGUGGCUUGCAGCGCGAACUGGUCGACUUGAGUAUGCAGGAAGUAGGCGGAAUUCAUGGUGUAGCGGUGAAAUGCUUAGAUAUCAUGACGAACUCCGAUUGCGCAGGCAGCUUACUGUAGCAUAACUGACGCUGAUGCUCGAAAGUGCGGGUAUCAAACAGG
rnacentral:rRNA from 1 species